GGAGGCUGCCGGGCGGCCGCCGGCCUUCGGGCCGGAGGAAAGUCCGGACACCACAGGGCAGGGAGGUCGCUAACGGCGACCGGGGGCGACCCCAGGGACAAGGGCCACAGAAAAGAUACCGCCGCCCGAAAGGGCGGUAAGGGUGAAAAGGCGGGGUAAGAGCCCACCAGCCUGCCGGGCGACCGGCAGGGCUUGGCAACCCCCUCCCGGUGCAAGGCCAAAUAGGUUCCGCAUCAAGGACUGCCCGUCCUUUUCCUUCGGGAGGGCGGAACGGGUUGGCCGCUCGAGCCUGCCGGCAACGGCAGGCCUAGACGAAUGGCCGCCGCCCGGUUUUACCGGGAACAGAAUCCGGCUUACGGCAGCCUCCGGCG
rnacentral:RNase_P_RNA from 1 species